ACUCUGCUCUCCCCUUAUAGUCCCGAGGAAGGGGGAGAGAGAAGCGGACGUCACCUCUUCCUUUUUUGCCAAUUUAGCGCCAUUUCCUUGCCGCCCUCUGCCCCUUGAUACCCUCGGGACUCACAGAACCCUAGUACCGCGGCGCCGUGUUGUGAGGGACGCCCUGGGGCACCUGCUGAGGCUGGAGAGGACGGCAAACAGAAUCUCUGUGAAGGUGGCUUAGUGCGUCCCGCGGAGACUCGAGGCGCUGGGACCUUUUUUCUCCUUCUCUCCUCUGUCUCCCCCCUAUCUUCCCUCCCUCAAAUGAGCCUGUAAGGGCAGCCACAGGAAACCCUUAACUCCGCCAGCCAUGUCUUCGGGGAUAAUCGGGUGUCGGGAGUUCGUGGUCGGGGGAAAAUACAGACUGGUGAGGAAAAUCGGCAGUGGCAGCUUCGGGGACAUUUACCUGGGCAUCAACAUCACCAAUGGAGAGGAGGUGGCCAUCAAGCUGGAGGCCAUGAAGGCACGCCACCCACAGUUGCUGUAUGAAAGCAAGGUGUACAAGAUCCUGCAAGGGGGCGUUGGCAUCCCACAUAUCAGGUGGUUUGGUCAGGAGCAGCAGUACAAUAUCUUGGUGAUGGACCUGCUGGGACCUUCACUUGAGGACCUCUUCAAUUUCUGCAGUCGCCGCUUCACUAUGAAGACCGUCCUGAUGUUGGCUGACCAGAUGAUUGGCCGCAUUGAGUUUAUCCACAAUAAGAAUUUCAUUCACAGAGACAUCAAACCAGAUAAUUUCUUGAUGGGGAUUGGGCGACACUGCAACAAGCUUUUCUUGAUUGAUUUUGGGCUGGCCAAGAAGUACCGUGACAACCGGUCGCGUGCCCACAUUCCUUACCGGGAGGACAAGAACCUCACUGGCACCGCCCGUUACGCCUCCAUCAAUGCCCAUCUUGGUAUUGAACAAAGCCGGCGGGAUGACAUGGAAAGUCUUGGAUAUGUGUUGAUGUACUUCAACCGGGGCUCACUACCUUGGCAGGGGCUCAAGGCUGCUACUAAGAAGCAAAAAUAUGAGAAAAUUAGUGAGAAAAAGAUGUCAACUCCUGUAGAGUCUUUAUGCAAGGCCUAUGAUGUCUUUUUUGGACCACUUCAUUCCAAGAUUUCUUUGGUCAUGCCCUGAAAACUACCAGCUAAGUUCACAUCUCUGAUUGCCACCAGGCUAAAAUUUCAAUUAUUGCUCAGUUUGUACAUUGUGAUAGUCUUCUUAUCUGUAAAAUAUGGGGAAAAGAACAAGGAUAUGCAAGUGACAUGCAUGCUGUUGGUAUGAGGGAGUGAGCCCUUUACAAGUAUAAUGAGAGUAUUGUAAUACACAAGAUGUGAAGAAAAAAAAGAGUGUAGUCUGAUAGAGACCUCUCUUGGAGUGAUUCUAGAUUAUUUAGAAACGAUAAGGCACAGGCAUAAAGCAGAUUAGAUUAUAUGUUUCCUACAGAGAAAUAUGAAUUAUUGAAGUAGCAAAGAACAGUUUCAAUACAGAUGUUAGGAAUCUGGCCAAUUAUGAAACUUUAAUGUGUGUGCUGCAAGCAGUCUUUGCCAUCGUGUAAUUCAUCCCUCCACUUUACAGGGCUUCCCAGCAGAGUUUGCAAUGUAUCUGAACUACUGUCGGGGACUGCGCUUUGAUGAGGCUCCCGACUACAUGUAUCUUCGGCAGUUGUUCCGCAUUCUGUUCCGCACCCUGCACCACCAGUAUGACUAUACCUUUGAUUGGACCAUGCUCAAGCAGAAGGCUGCCUCCACUGCCGCAGCCGUCUCUGGUACUACGCCCCAGCCCCCCGCCACCCCGGGCACUCAGAAGCAGCUCUGAGGGCCCGGCAGCUGAGGGGGCAGCAGCAGCGGGCGGAGGAGGUGGUGCAGUGCAUGAGGAACCGAAGGAGGAGAAAAAAGAUGGUAACAGAUCACCACCCUCACCCCCAAGUCAAAACACAAGGAAGAAGAGGAGGCUGUUAUCUCCUCCAGAGGGAGAGGUAAUUUAACUGCCUGCCUCAACCAGAGAGUAGUGCCUCCUCCCCCACCCUCAGCAAGUAGUAGUGGCAAGGGGGGAUUAAUCAAUGGUAAUUUUACAGUGGUGGUGUUUGGUCAAUCAUACCCCUUCAGUGGUGGUGAUCAUUAUGACAGAAUAAUGUAUGGUUGACAGUAAUUCUUAAAUGGCAGUAAUUGGUCAAUUGCAUCAAGGCAGUUGGUUAGCAGUGAAAUGUAUGAUAGCUUGACACCAGUGACAUGUUGUAUAUGCAGCAACAGUGUGUGUGAGUGUGUGUGUUUGUUUUUGUGUAAGUAUGUACACUUAUGUGUGUGUGUGAGAUUGCUGCAUACAUGCCACAGGAGCAAGUCAAAAGAUUUCUCAGUUUGUGAGUAUGUACGCUGCCUGUUAGGCCAAGAAAGUUGUGUCAAGCCUGUGAGAUACAUGAAUCAAGUUUCUCAAGUGCUGACAAACCAUGCCAGAUAUUUUAAGGAUAAUGUUGAUGUUCUUUUGUCAUCUUAAAGACAAACACUUGAAGGGUAAUGUUCAUAAUCUUAUGCCAUCAUUAAACCUAAGGUGGUGAAUAACAAAGUUGUGGCAGUGUGUGAUGCCACCGGCACUUCUGGGUGUCACAUAGUAUGUAUCGUGUUCUGUCCCAUGGGCUAGAGGAAGGAGGAAGGGCGAGAAGAAGAGACUUUAUUGUGUACAUAUGUAUGAGUGGCAUCUGUUUCAUCCUAGAAAGUGUGUGUGUGUGUAUUUGUCUGUUUCAUCGAGUAUGAGGUUGUGUGCAUGUAGAUGCCAUGUUUGUUUAUCUCCUGUCUAGCCUCGUCUUGUUUACUCUAGCAACAACAAAACAAUAGUGAAGUAUCUAAACAUGACCUUCCCUCUCCCCCUCAACAGCAUCCUCCUCCUGAUGUCAUGUAUCAUGAAUUUGUGGAUAUGACUUGACAUUACCCACCUUUAUUUCUCAAACACCUGCUCUUUCCUCACUAUUCCCAACACACACAAAAAAAAAGAUAAAGUAAAAAAUUUGUGAAAAAAAAAUAUUCACUGCAAGUUCUUAAUAAAUAAACAAAAUAGGCAAGGGUAAGAUUUUUUAUUUAGUUUUGCUUUUUGUCGUCUUUUAAGUUUUAAGGAGAUUGUAAAAUAAAAAGUGAACUCCUCCGUCUCUCUGUAAGUUGAGUAGGAUAUCUUUUUGGUGUGCGUGCGCUCAUUUUUAUUUUCUUUGCUCUGCCUUUCGGCAAAUGGAGGCACUAUACACAGACACGUCAAUAUAAGAUAGUAACCCAACAAGUAAAUGCAAACCUAGAGUAUGGCUUUGCAAACUUGGAUUAUAGUUUUGUCCUUUGUUUAUUUUCAUAGGUGGAAACACCCUUGGCACUGAAAGGACAAAAGUUCAAGUUCUGUGAAUUGAGUUUUGUGAUGCCUUGAUAAGAAAAAAAUUGUAUGUAUGUAUUUUCAUUUUUAGAAAUUAUCACUGUCUCAUGACUAUAUUGUCUUUUGCAAAGAAGACAUGAUUAAACAUGGCUUAAAAGUAAUCUCAAGAACAUGCUCUCCUAUUUUGUCGUGAGUUGCUUUUGUUUUUCCCCACCUCUGAUUUAUAUACACUGUUUAUAUAAAGAUUUCAUUCAUCUUCAGUCAGUCAGUCAGUCAGGUUGACGAGCACCAUCCUAUUUUGCUUUCAGUCGCAAUUGUGCCCAUCACCUCUUUAUUACCCAAGGGUUAUGUAGUUGUUUUGAGUUUUGUGAAGUCCAAUUCUUGCUUGUGGAAGCACCAAGAAAGUGGUGCUUGUUGAGCGGACACUCCCAAACAUGGACAUGUGAAGAUCCUAUGGCACUUUGUAUUCUAGAAUAACCCUGAGUCAUGCAAUAACUCAUCCAGGUCAUCCCCCAACCCCACGCUGAUAAAGUGGGACUCAUUUGACAGACUCCAAGCCCUUUCCAAGUUUGGGUCUCUGUUUAGAGUCUAUUUACUCUAGUGACCUCAAUGUAUUGUAAUAAACAUGGGUCACCUGAACCCCUAGCCCUCAUGCUUGUCAGUGUGGUAUUGAGUAUUGGUUCUGAGAUAAGCCUGGUCAAUGAACUACACAAACUACAUUGUACCAAGUGGUCCAGGUUUGAGAGUAACCGCUGAAUAUCUCUGUAAUUUUUUUUUUCAGCGUGUAUGACUUCUAACUUGGAUAGAGGAUUAAACUAUAUAUAUGGAAUAAGAAAAUAUAUAUAUGUAUACAUUAUAUGGAAGUUAGUUGGGUAAGAAGAAAGCAAAUUAUGUAAUGUAAGGCAACUCCUUGACAGUGAUUCACAAGCGGUGGAGUGUAUAACCUUUGUUUUUUCCACCGUGAGUGCUGUUGUGUGUGUGUGUGUGUGUGUGUGUGUGUGUGUGUGUGUGUGUGUGUGUCAGUCUUUGUGUGUGUGUGUGUGUGCAUGUGUGCAUAUGUGAGAAAAAAAAAAUGUUAUACUUAUUUUUUAUUUUUAUUUUAUUUUUUCCACAAUUGUAUUUUAGAAGUUUCCAAGGAUGUAAAUGACUUCACAAAAUUCAAACCCUCAUGUGUAUAAACACACACACACACACACACACACACACACACACACACACACACACACACACACACACACACACACACACACACACACACACACGC